rfam:Schistosoma haematobium scaffold106_9, whole genome shotgun sequence.
GCAUUGUUGAGGAGUCCCACAACAGAACGAAACGACCGUUCAGUGC